UUGAUUAGCAGUCUAAAGAGACUGAAGUCCUCUAUCCACCAAACAGGUUCAGUCCAGGCAACAGUAGUGAAAUCUUUCCCAUACUCUGCCCCAUCAAUGUGUCUCAACUCUGGCUUGCAGUGACUAGCUUUAGUGUGAGUGAGUAAUUCAGGUUCUGUGCUCAUUCAGUCCUUGAUGUUU
rnacentral:sRNA from 1 species